rnacentral:rRNA from 1 species
AUACGUAGGGGGCGAGCGUUGUCCGGAAUGAUUGGGCGUAAAGGGCGCGUAGGCGGCCUGUUAAGUCUGGAGUGAAAGUCCUGUUUUCAAGAUGGGAAUUGCUUUGGAUACUGAUGGGCUUGAGUGCAGGAGAGGUUAUCGGAAUUCCCGGUGUAGCGGUGAAAUGCGUAGAGAUCGGGAGGAACACCAGUGGCGAAGGCGGGUAACUGGACUGCAACUGACGCUGAGGCGCGAAAGUGUGGGGAGCAAACAGGAUUAGAUGCCCUGGUAGUCCACACGGUAAACGAUGAAUGCUAGGUGUAAGAGGUAUCGACCCCUUUUGUGCCGGAGUUAACACAAUAAGCAUUCCGCCUGGGGAGUACGGCCGCAAGGUUGAAACUCAAAGGAAUUGACGGGG